GGUCAUUAGAUUUAAGAUAACUUUAGGCCAUUAGAUAGGGAUUUAUGGACGUUGUCCUUGUUUCCCGGGGAGAGAUAGCCUUAACAGUACACACAUGCAGGUCUCACAUCAGUUGGAUCAAAAUGUCGGCCAUAAACUUUGAAAUUACGGACCAAAGAUUGAAAGAAUAUGAAGAAAAUGGUUUCAUUAUCAUAAGGAAUUUCUUCGAUGACGAAGAAGUGAGAAAGAUGAAAAAAUGUUUUGAAGAGACAGAAGAAAUGGCCAACCAAAAG